AACUGAUACUACCUGCGGGAACCUGCGGAAGGAUCAUUACUGAGAAUGCUCUCCGGAGCCCUCAAACCUUGCGUACCCAUCUUGUACUUGCGGGUGGCUCUCGGGCGCCCGCGAGGAUUCAAACUGUUUGACUAUCGUCAGAUUUCUACAAAAGAAAACAACUUUCAGCAACGGAUCUCU
rnacentral:misc_RNA from 1 species